GCACUGGUGGUUCAGUGGUAGAAUUCUCGCCUGCUACGCGGGAAGCCCGGGUUUGAUUCCCGGCCAGUGCA
rfam:Nematostella vectensis strain CH2 x CH6 NEMVEscaffold_870_Cont33579, whole genome shotgun sequence.